UGGAACAUGGGUGAUGGGGCUCACCUAAACCGCCUGCCAAGGCUGAUGGCUCCUGCGAACCG
rnacentral:ncRNA from 1 species